GUUUCUAUAGUGUAGUGGUUAUCAUGUUCGCCUACCAUAUGAAAGAUCCUCGUUUUGAACCCGGGCAGAAACA